GGCAUUCCAUUUGCAAUUGGUGUUAAUGGGUUCUGUUAUGGUGGGCACAUAGUUCUUCCUAACAUCUAUCAAUCAAUGGCGGACAAAAGCCAAUUCACCAAGGCAGUAACAAUAAGCUUUAUUUUGAGCUUUUUCAUUUAUGGAGGAGUUGCAGUGAUGGGAUUUCUCUUGUUUGGUGAAGAUACAUUAUCUCAGAUAACAUUGAAUAUGCCACCAGAUGCCCUCAUUUCAAAAGUUGCCUUGUGGACUACAGUUAUCAAC
rnacentral:misc_RNA from 1 species